UAGCCAAGAGUUUACAGGAUCGAGGUGAA
rnacentral:sRNA from 1 species